rnacentral:tRNA from 1 species
GGAGGGGUGCCGGAGUGGUUAAUCGGAGCAGUCUGUAAAAUUGCCGCCUGAAAGGGCUACGUUGGUUCAAAUCCAACCCCCUCCACCA